rnacentral:ncRNA from 1 species
ACAAUGAUACUUCCGUCCAGUCCCAGACACACGCAAGGAGGGCGGCUGCGAGAGAUCCUCGCGGGGGUGAGAGUCCCAUGA